rnacentral:lncRNA from 1 species
CCAAUUAGAAGCCUUUCAUUUUGAAAGUAAAUAAACUCCUUCAAAGUCAGCGACUUGACUACCAGCCUGAUUAAGGAAAGAUUCAACCAUUUACCCAUCAAAAGUAGGUGGAGGAGAUCUUCCUCAGCCCAACUUCAUAAUGGUUUUCUGGCUCCUGCUAGCGCUUGCUUUCCCCGAACUAAUGCAUGUUUGACCAACCAAACAGACAAAGAACCCCGCAUCUUUUUCCUCUCUCCCCCAUUUUUUAAAAAUAUUUCUCAUUUAUGAUACAAUGAAAUUUCGCGAGGUGCUCAACGGACACCCCGGGCUUUGAAUUAAAGAAAAAACCUCUAUAACUCUCUCUCUUUUUUUUUCUCCAUGCUCACUGAUCUGCAAUUUGAGAGUGCUAGCUUUCCUAUUCUCCCAAGAGCAAAGAUCCCUAUUUCCAUACCUAUGUUAGGCAGGC